UACGUAGGGGCCUAGCGUUGUCCGGAUUUAUUGGGCGUAAAGAGCUCGUAGGCGGUUCGGUAAGUCAGGUGUGAAAUCUCCACGCUCAACGUGGAGGCGCCACCUGAAACUGCCGUGACCAGUCGAGUCCGGGAGGGGGCGAGGUGGAAUUCCUGGUGUAGCGGUGAAAUGCGCAGAUAUCAGGAGGAACACCAAUGGCGAAGGCAGCUCGCUGGAACGGUACUGACGCUGAGGCGCGAAAGCCAGGGGAGCGAACGGGG
rnacentral:rRNA from 1 species